rnacentral:sRNA from 1 species
GUGCCCGGAUGCACCGCCCAGCCAGGAAGUUUCUGAAGGCCCAGGUGCUGCCCCCUCUGCGGGAUGUGAGGACACGGCCUGAGGUUGGAGAGAUGCUGCGGAACAAGCUUGUCCGCCUCAUGACACACCUGGACACAGAUGUGAAGAGGGUGGCUGCCGAGUUCUUGUUUGUCCUGUGCUCUGAGAGUGGUGAGUUAGGGAGACCCAGGUCCCAGCCCACCCCACCUCAGCCAGGCUUGCACACUGACCUCUGCCUUGCCCCUCAGUGCCCCGAUUCAUCAAGUACACGGGCUAUGGGAAUGCUGCUGGCCUUCUGGCUGCCAGGGGCCUCAUGGCGGGAGGCCGG